rnacentral:tRNA from 1 species
GGGAAUUAGCUCAGUUGGGAGAGCGCUUGACUGGCAGUCAAGAGGCCAGGGGUUCAAGUCCCCUAUUCUCC